CGCCGCGGUUAUACGAGAGACCCCAGUUGACACUAUCGGCGUAAAGUGUGACUACAGAAAAAUAUAAAACUAAAGCCAAAACCUCUCAAAGCCGUUAUACGCAUAUCGAGACUCGUAGGUCCCUAAACGUAAGUAGCUUUAACAUAUCUGAACUCACGAAAGCUGGGAAA
rnacentral:rRNA from 1 species